ACUUUAGAGUCGUGGACGAAGGAAACCAGCACGGUAAGCUGUGUCUCUCCUCUUCCGUAUGGCAGCAUGUAGGAGCUCGUAAGCUGCACGCGAUUCUGUUUGUCUCUUCCCCCAAAUAGUUUCUAGUGACGAUCAGUAGCUUUCUUGGUUGCUUUGAGGAGUUCCACACUCUAUGCGAUAGUUCUUGCUGGGCUAAACUGAAUGGGAAUAGGGAACAAAAUGUGUGGGUUCCAAUUCGUUUCAACCCUCUUAUGGUGUGCCCGUGAGACCAGGAGGGCACACCUUCUUUAUGAGAUAAUUCCAAUGUGGCAUCCUAUCUUUUAUUGGACCACACAGUGUCAACUUGGGGUUGCCAUGUUGUCAUUCUCUCUUCUUUUAUCUCAGCUUGGAGGUUGGAUGCUUAUUAAGCUGUUAAUCCAGAAUUCAGCUGUCAACCUCAAAUUGACGCAAUUUGAGGAUCAUCUCCAGCAUGAAUCUUGAGGAGCCAAGGGGAGGGCAAAAGAAGAGGAUAGGUUGACGAUCCAAAUAUCCAAGUAAAGCCUGACCUUUGUUGGGAGUGUUUCCGAUACCUAAGUUAGAGUGAGUCCUAAAAUAAGAUUUAAAGACGGUAUCUAGAGAGACAUGUAUAAUUUUGAGUUCUAUUUUAUAGUCGAGAAUUUCUAACUGUUUAAGGAU